CCUCGGCUCGUGUGCUCCGUACUUUGGCACAAGUAGUUUCAGGAAGUCAACGCCUUAGUCAGGACCCUCGGCCUGGACGAUGACCCCUUCUCAGAAUAAAGUAUACUCCCAAAAAUCUUUUCUUUCUAAAACUUCUUGUGACUUUUCUAAUCUAAAUCAUUUCUUUAUAGAACAUCAUGUACAUGAUCAUGCUGGUAUCCUCAAAUGUAAAGCAUGGCAUAAGAAUGAAAUAAACAUGUAAAAGUAUUUCUAAAGAGUCUUGCUUCUUCAUAAAUUUUAAACAUGAAAAUAGCAUAUAAGAAUAACACAAAAAACUGAAAAUUUAUGUACAUAUAUCAUAAUAAAUCAUCUAAACUUUUGCUAGAACAAUUCUAAGCUAAUAGAUACUCACUCGUUCCAAUUAAGUAAAUAUAAACUCUUUUAAACAAGUCAUCAAACACCUCGUAUGAGUGCUUUUGUGAGUUAAACCACUUUAGUAAAGAGUUAUAUCAACUCACCUCAAAACUUCUCGAGCCAACACGUAGGCCCCAGUCCAAUUGACACUAGUCAAACAAUCGUGAGACGACCCGGCCGGUCGUCUUAAGAAUUUACGCCCUGAUCCCCUAUUAACUGCUUUUUCCGAGUUUAUUUCUACUAUUUUUAUUGGCCAGGAUAUUCGGUUUUGAGUUUCGGAGAGUUUUGGAACACUUAGUCCCUAAAUAAGAGCUUAAGUGUUGGAAAGUUGACCAUAGUUGGAAUAGUGUGAAAACAGCCUCGGAAUGGAAAUCUGAUGGUUCCGCAAGCUUCAUUGGGUGAUUUCGGGCUUAUGGGCAUGUUCGGAUUAUGUUUUGGAGGUCCGUAGCAAAUUUAGGCUUGAAAUGCUGAAAGGUCGAAUUUUGAAGUUUCCGGUUCGAUAGUGAGAUUUUGAUCCGAGGGUCGGAAUAAAAUUCCGGAAGUUGGAGUAGCUCCGUAGUGUUGAAUGUGUCGUGUGUGCAAAAUUUUAGGUACGAGGGUUGAUAGACUUUUUGAUCGAAAGCAUAUUUUUAGAGUUUUUGGGAUUCUUAGGCUUGAAUCCGAUAAAAAAUAGGUGUUUUGAUGUUGUUUUGAGCAUUCCGAAGGUUGGAACAAAUUUGAAUGAAAUUAUGGGAUAUGUUAGUAGGUUUGGUUGAGGUCCCGGGGGCCUCAGGAUGAUUUCGAAUGGUUGGCGGAAGGAUUUUUGGAGUUUGGGAGUUGUAGCUUCAGCUGGUUUCUGUCAUAACUGCACCUGCGGUUUGGGUUCCGCAGGUGCGGAACCGCUGUCAUACCUCCUUUUUUACUACACCCCGUAAAGGAUAUAAAUACAAUGGGGGUUUUCUAAUUAAAGGACAAUCGAAAUGGGAUCAUUUAUUUAUUAAAAAUCAGAGUCGCCACUUGGGAUAAUUUAGGGUGUCCCAAGUCAUCGGUUUAGGAUCCCGAAUCGAGGAAAGUUGACUCUAUUCACGGUCCGCGAACACAGAAAUCCGGGUAAGUAAUUCUGUUAACCCGGGAGAAUGUGUUAGGCACUCCCGAGUUCUGUGGUUCUAGCACGGUCGCUUUGACCAUACUUGGCUUAUUAAAAUUGUUUAAUUACUCAUUUUUAGAACCUAUGAGCAUUUACCUUUUACCGCUUUUAAAUUAAGAAAAUUAUCUUGAAACGGGUCAUGUGUACGUGUACCCAUUUGUUUGGUGCGUCAAAAAUCAUGUCACACGAACGUGUCCACAAUCGAUAACGCUUUAUUAUUAUUAAGAAGGUUUAGUCAAAGUUGCGCGAACGCAUACCCCGAUUUUAUUUUUAAGAAAUUGUAAUCAUGUCACACGAACGUGUCCACGAGGGGGUCACAACAAGCAGAGAACAGACAAGCCACAUCCAUCCUAUUCAUAAAGUAGGAUCCAGGAAUGUACUAAUAGCUAUGACAAGUUGAUCACAGUGAUAAAAUGUUUUAGAACAUUGUCUUGAAUUUCCCAAAGAUAUUGAGCAGUAAAGCUAUUUUUCGAACAUCUUUUGAGCUAGCUAGAUUUUGUACACAGAACAAGCUUUACUCAACAAUUUUCACCUCCGGCACUUCUACCCUGAACCUCUUGCCACUUUGCAACUAAGCUACACCCUCACAAUCAAGAGGUCACAAGGAAAUAUUUAAAAAAAGAAGUGUCGUUUGAAAUCUCAUGAGACUUGCUUUUGGGAGAGCAAUAGGUAAUAACUCAACAGAAUCACCUUAUUGAUACAACAACAAAUCCUACGAAUUUUAGCCCAUGUAAAAAGAUUGCUCAACCACCGAUCCUAUAGACAUUUUAACUUAUCCAUUUAACCUUCUAUAAUCAACUCGCUUAUCUACUUCCUCUAUCAAAAAAAAUUAUCUUAGUCUCCCCUCAGUUAUCAAAUAAUCCAUGUCUUUUGUGAAAUUAUCUUAAGUUUUUUUGUAUAUUGCAAUGAAACAGAUAAACCUUGUGCUUCAACCAAAAAUAUUAAAGGGCCAUUACCCCCGAAAUACUCGCGGUUAAUUUUUACCUAUAAUUUAGCAAUAUGCAUGCUUCACUUGAAAAAUUUCCCCCACAAAAUGUAAAAGUGACACAGAAUUCCAAAUCAGAUAAUUACAAGUCGAACUACCAUCAAACAAGUUAAAAAGUUGAAAGAACAAUCAAAUAUACCAGACCUACUUAUCGUAAAAUGUACAGUGACAGAGAAAACAUUCCACCAGAAUCAUAUCACCAAGAAAGCACACAUGAAAGUGACGAGAAUAAGACAAUAGAGAAAGAAUUGGACCUGAAGAACAAUCUUCCCUUAAUAACAGAAAUAAAGAAAUCGGGUACAGGGAGAGCUUCAAAUCCAAAAGUUUACUCGAGAAUUCAGCAGCUAAAUCAAACAGAAGCUUCGAACGAAACCCCGCAUGGACACUCGAAAUCGGCAAAUUCAAACUCUGACUCAACCAAGCUCCAUUUCCUAGUUCUUGUUCCUAUUGUUAACCAAAAAUCCUCAAAUUUUUCCCCCAAUUUUUUGUUUUUUCAGCUUCUGUUUCCUCUUGGGGGUGAUUGGAUGGCGACAAUUUUCCGGCGAUUUUGGAAGGUGAAGAAGCUUGGCUUUUCUUUGAAGAAGAAGGGGUUCGUCUGGUUUCAGGGGUGGUCGACGGGUUUGGGGUCUGAUUUUGGUUAAGCAGCAGCCAUGGAAAUUGGCUCUUCUUCCCUGAAGAAGAAGGUCAGUCCGUAGGGGGGUCGUUUGCAAGAGGGUUCCGCCGCUGAUCCUUUCUAUGUUAGCCCCUCUUUUUAUUCAAUAUGGAGAGUGGGGCUCUCUCUGUUUAUUGCUGCGCA
rnacentral:lncRNA from 1 species